AACGAACGCUGGCGGCAUGCCUAACACAUGCAAGUCGAACGAGAUCCUUCGGGGUCUAGUGGCGCACGGGUGCGUAACGCGUGGGAAUCUGCCCUUAGGUUCGGAAUAACAGUUAGAAAUGACUGCUAAUACCGGAUGAUGACGUUAAGUCCAAAGAUUUAUCGCCUGAGGAUGAGCCCGCGUAGGAUUAGCUAGUUGGUGUGGUAAAGGCGCACCAAGGCGACGAUCCUUAGCUGGUCUGAGAGGAUGAUCAGCCACACUGGGACUGAGACACGGCCCAGACUCCUACGGGAGGAAGCAGUGGGGAAUAUUGGACAAUGGGCGCAAGCCUGAUCCAGCAAUGCCGCGUGAGUGAUGAAGGCCUUAGGGUUGUAAAGCUCUUUUACCCGAGAUGAUAAUGACAGUAGCGGGAGAAUAAGCCCCGGCUAACUCCGUG
rnacentral:rRNA from 1 species